GCGAAAGUGGCGGAAUGGCAGACGCGCUAGGUUCAGGGUCUAGUGGGGUCAAACCCGUGGGGGUUCAAGUCCCCCCUUUCGCACCA
rnacentral:tRNA from 1 species